rnacentral:rRNA from 1 species
UACGUAGGGGGGCAAGCGUUGUCCGGAUUUAUUGGGCGUAAAGAGCGUGUAGGCGGCCGUGUAGGUCUGACGUGAAAUCUGGAGGCUCAACCUUCAGACGUCGACGGAACCGUUUGGCUAGAGUCGGAAGAGGAGAGUGGAAUUCCUGGUGUAGCGGUGAAAUGCGCAGAUAUCAGGAAGAACACCGAUGGCGAAGGCAGCUCUCUGGGACGGUACUGACGCUGAGACGCGAAAGCGUGGGGAGCGAACAGG